UGGCAGAAUGCACAAGGGCCUAAUUAUACAAGGAUGCUCCAUUACCCAAAUUUAGCCCUGCUCACACACAUAGUAAAAAAAUCCAGUCAGCGCUGAAGGAGAAUGGCCUCUGCUAAAGAUGCAAACAAUGCAGCUUAUAAAGAACAGAGUGUAACUGCAGAGGAAGCCUUCCCGUGACGCACGCAGAGCUGAUAAUCUUCAGACUCCCAGCCACUGAGCAGGAGGGUGACUUCUAAUAGCGGAAUGGAAAGCCUCCAGAAUAGAGAGGCAGAGGAGGAUGUCAGCCCCUGCCGUGAUUUUGAGGAAACCGAACAGACAGUACCGCACAUGGAGGGACAGACCAAACCUUUCGUCACUGGCCGCGGGCCAGGUUUGGGGGCACCCCUGAUCUUGGACAUACCAACUGGGCUCAAACUGGCCACUCAGUGGUUGCAAGCCAAUUCUCCCAAAUGGCUUUCUCCAGGACCCAGAGGAAAGGCUUCCAGAAAAACCAACAGCGUGGAUCUUUUUCCAGCUAGAGAACCCCGGCCAGCUCCCCAACAGUGGCCAGGAGGUGCAGAAUGCACACGAGUUAAAGACGGGGCCUCCAAGACUGGGGUCCUCUGACACCCCGUUUUAAGGUUUGGGAACCUUUACGCUUACCAGGAGCCAAGGGCCGGGUCAGUCAAGUGAAUGGACAUUACUGCAAACUCCCUCUCACAAGAAGAUCACUCAAUUACAUUAAGUACUUGUGAAGCAAAAAAUGACAUCAGCACAUUUGCAGUAAUCAGAACAAACCUUUAUUUGAAGCCAUUUUUUGCAUUACAGCGCCUGAGGAUAAAAGACUCAGAAAAUAAAAAUCAACAGCUUUGAUUUUGUCAACUCCAAGCAAGGAUGGGUGAGAAGAAACAGAAACUGUCCAAUUAAGUUAAUAUACUGAAUAUCUGAUUUUUUAUUUUUUUAUAUUGUCAGUUUCCCCAAGGGAUAUUUCUGCAUUUGCAUGUGUUUGCAUUUGCAUGUGUUCAUGCAAAUAGUAUGUCUAAUAGUGAUUUUUGUGAUGAAAUGCCUUGAUUAUGCUGCAAACCAAUUUCCCCACGGGGACAAAUAAAAGUAUCCAUCUCAUCUCAUUCUUAAUUGUCUUGGUAUAUGUUAAAGGUCCAGGAAACUGAAAUCUCAAUUCUUCGCUGAUGUGCCAUUUUAAUACUUUUUUUUUUUUUUUUGCAUUCACAAAUGGCCGAGAAAUAUUUUUUAAUUGAUUCUUGUAAAAAAAAACCGAAAAAAAAAAACACAAA